GCCGGUAUAGCUCAGCUGGUAGAGCAACGCUUUCGUAAAGCGUGGGUCGUAGGUUCGAAUCCUAUUAUCGGCUCCA
rnacentral:tRNA from 2 species